ACUUUAUUGUUUGGAUAGAAAACCUCUUAUUCUUGGUAUAACGUGUUUAGAUCACAUCACGUUCCUCGCCUGUAUACAGAGAAGUUUGUCAACUUUCCUUGUCAAAAAAGACAGAUCAUUCAUUCUGUUACAAAUGCAGAUUGUUGCAUUUUUAUUGACACCUAAACCCAGAGUGUAACUAUCUGCUGGAUGUCAAUCCGUCGCUGACAUCUUUUUCUGAAGUAGUAUUUCCCUUAAAUCAUACUUUAAUAAAGGCCCUACACUGCCAUUAGGUUUCACUUGUUUUUUGUGAUUAGCAAAUCAUCAGCAUGGCACCUUCAUCCCGUCAAGAGCAAGUUUGAGCAACCAGCUUACUUACAAAGUUUUCAUGUGGCACCUUCAGUUUUUCAAAGGCUUCUUUUGAAACACAGACCGUAUUUGUCUUCCCUCUCUAGGAACUCUUUCCUGCCAUACGAGGGCUGAGGAAAGAAAACAACAGAAAACAUGACAAGGAUAUGAGGGAACCAUUUGAAGAAAGAAAGCUUCUCAAAGGAACUCUUUCCUGCUGUACAAGGGCUGAGGAAAGAAAACAACAGAAAACAUGACAAGGAUAUAAGGUAACCAUUUGAAGAAAGAAAACUUCUCAAAGAUAUAGCUUUGGAGCCAAACCCUUCUGAUGAUCUUCCUCCGAAAAUUUCAAACACAGUCUUCCUCUGAAAAUCUCAAGCAAAUGGUGACACUGCAUUGUUUUUUCCACCAGGAAGAGGACUGAAAACGCUCUGUCAUAAUGAGUGUAUUAUAGAAAAGAUUUAGAGAAACUUACAUUGGUUUAAAUGUUUCAGCUUUUCAUAUAUUCACUUGUCCUAUUUUAACAUGUGAUAUACUUCUCUUAGUUGUUACUAUGUUAGUGAAAAUCAUGUAAAUUUGUGUUUAUACAUUUUGCUACCUUUCAUCAAUGUAAUUUGCCACGUGAUUUAAGCAUAGUCAUAGAUUUAUCUUUAUUUAUUCAUAAUUCUUUGUCUUUUGCCCUUUCCCCUUGCUCCAAAGGGUUCAUUUUAAUGAUGAAUGAUAGAAUUUAGGCUUCAGCUUGGUUUUUAUUAAAACAAAUAAAAAAAUCAGUUGUUCAUCAGUGGGGAUUGAAUUUGUGAUUUCAGCCUCCUCUUAUAUGGUGCUCUAACCACAUGAGUUUAUCACAUCCAAGUUUAUGCUACUCAAAACUUUUAGGAUAUUAACCUUUUCAUGUUAAUGUAAUAUAAAUGUAAACAUCCACUACUUCUGCUUUUUUUUAAAUGUUAUGUUAAAUCCUAGUUUGUUUGAUUAAAAAGUCAUAUACAACCAAGUUUUUUAGUUGAUUUCAACAGCAAGAAUACAAAUGAGUGUUCUAGAAUAAUAUUUGAAGUAAUGCAGCACAAUAAAAUAUGGGUUUUGGUGGGGCUCAGUGGCUCAUGCCUGUAAUCCCAGCACUUUGGGAGGUCGAGGCAGGUGGAUCACAAGAUCAGGAGAUCGAGACCAUCCUGGCCAACAUGGGGAAACACCAUCUCUACUAAAAAUACAAAAAUCAGCUGGGUGUGGUGGUGCAUGCCUGUGGUCCCAGCUACUUGGGAGGCUGAGGCAAAAGAAUCACUUGAACCCAGAAGGCAGAGGUUCCAAUGAGCUGAGAUAGAGCCACUGCAUUCCAUUCUGGGAGACAGAGCCAGACUCUGUCUCAAAAAAAAUAGGUUUUUAAUGUGCUUUUAUGGUUUGUAUAGAUUUUCCAGUCAUUUCUGGUCAGGAUUUGUGUUUGCUCACUUUUGCAUUGCUACAAAGAAAUACCCAAGGCUAUGUAAUUUAUUUUAAAAAGUGUAAUUGGCUCCUAGUUCUGCAGGCUUUACAAACAUGGCUUCAACACCUGCUUCUGGUGAGGUCCUCAGUGAGCUUACACUCAUGAUGGAAGGCAAAGGGAGGGCAGGUGGUUUCACGUGAGAGAGGGGAAGGGGGAAGGGGCCACACACUUAACCAGCUCUCAUGCAAAUUACCAGAAUGAGAAUUUGAUCAUUAUUGUGAGGAUGGCACCCAGCCAUUCAUAAGGAAUCCACCACCAUUACCCAAACACCUCCCAGGAGGCCCUAUUUUCAACACUGACAUCCACAUAUUCAGAUGAGAUCUGGAGGGGGGAAGUAUCUAAAUCAUAUCAGAAUUAUAUUUCUCAGUUCCUUCCAGAGCCAUAGGCCUCUCACAGAGUGUGUGGAAGCAGUGAAAGAAAAGUUAAAGCUUUUUCAUGUCCCUCAGUCUUCAGAGGGAGGAGUGUUUGCCUCCAAGGCCUUCCAGCAUCAAAGGAAGAGGCAGUAUAGGAAACAAAGCAGGGCUCAAGUCUCUCUUGGAGCUUUUAUUUUUCUGGCCUUUGUUAGAAAAAAAGAUGAUUUUGUUUGCUGCAGAUACUAUGUCUAGUUAGGUUUGCAUAUUCAUUUUAAAAUUUAAAUUUAAGGUAGGUUACUUUCCAGUUGUGCAAAGACCCCCUUUUUUGUUGUUGUUAAUGACAUACUUGUAGAUGGCCAAUACAUGAUUUGAGAUGCUCACAGGGAUUCUGGUGCAUCCAGAGAUUUGUACUUAGUCAUGAACUAGUUCUUAAAGCUGCUACCUCUUAGAUUCUGGUAAUUAGAGUAAGCUAUGUGUAAAUGCAGAAUGAGAAAAUACUAAUGAAUCAUGGCUCAUAUAUGCAACAGUUAAACUUAUUUAUUAGCUAAAUUUCUCAUCUGACUUAAUUUGUUAUGCUUUUUUUUUACAAGAAGAUUUUUAAAUUUGAAUGUAAUAGAAUAUUUUUUUCCCUUCCAAGAUGGAGUCUUGCCCUAUCACCCAGAGCUAAUGUGCAGCAGCACUAUCUCGGCUCACUGCAACCUCCCUCUGCCUCCUGAGUUCAAUCAAUUCUCCUGCCUCAGCCUCCUGAGUAGCUGGGAUAACACUCGUGUGCCACCACCCCCAGCUAAGAAUGUAAUAGAAUAUCUGUUAGGACAAAAGGUAAAAUCAACAUUUUAUAUUUUACUUUAUGAGAUUUAUUUUUAUUUUUUUAUUUUUUUAAGACAGGGUUUCUCCAUGUUGGUCAGGCUGGUCUUGAACUCCCAACCUCAGGUGAUCCACCCACCUUGGCCUCCAAAGUGCUUGGAUUACAGGCGUGAGCCACCACACCCAGUCCAUACUUUAUUAGAUUUAUUAUGCCAUGUAAUUUAAAUUUUCAAUUAUUGGAAAUUAUUUUUAAUGGAAUUUUGUCUCACUUUGCAUGGGGGUAAUCAAUCAGAUGUUAGCAACUACUUUAUUUUAUAAUAUUUGAAUCAGAACUGAUUUUUUUAAUUCUUGGUGAAAGGAAAAAGAGCAACUACAUAAACCAUGUAAGUAAAUAGUCACAAAGUUAAGAAAUUCAUAGUUUGCUGUAAAAUAUUGAUUCCUUAAAAAUAAAAUGGGAGGCCAGGCACGGUGGCUCAUGCCUGUAAUCCCAGCACUUUGGGAGGCCGAGGCGGGCACAUCACGAGGUCAAGAGAUCGAGCCCAUCCUGACCAACAUGGUGAAACCCCAUCUCUAUUAAAAAUACAAAAAUUAACUGGGCAUGGUGGUGUGCACUUGUAGUCCCAGCUACUUGGGAGGCUAAGGCAGGAGAAUUGCUUGAAUCCAGGAGACGGAGGUUGCAGUGAGCCAAGAUUGUGCCACUGCACUCCAGCCUGGUGACAGAGUGAGACUCUGUCUCAAAAAAUAAUAUCAUAUAAUAUAACAUAAUAUAAUAUAAUAUAAUGUAAUAAAAUAAAGUCAGGACUCCAUCCUGCUAGAAUAGAACUCUUUUUGUGAACUUUGUAAAUCUCUUCUAUCUUUCCAAGUAUCAAAUUUAUGCAGUAAAGUCUUUAUUAGUAUGUUCACUUUUUCAAGGAUCUGAUAUGUAAGCUAAAUUUUAAGAA